UUAGGGAGCUACCAUUUGAUUUUUAUGGGGGGGCUAGGAUGAAAAAUUUUGUCCUGCAUUUUAUUUUUAGCUGUAAUCUCUGUCCUGCCUUUUUAUUUUUCACUCUGUUCGGUCCUGCUUUUUUUUUUAGUUUAUCCUGACUUUUUAUUACCUAAAUUGUGGUCCUGACUUUUUUUUUUUGCAAGUGUCUCAUCCUGCCUUUUUUUUUUUACUCAAAACUCCUGUCCUGCCUAUUUUUUUUAAAUUCCAUCCUAGCCCCCCCCCCCC
rnacentral:lncRNA from 1 species